GACGAACGCUGGCGGCGUGCCUAACACAUGCAAGUCGGGCGGAGGAUUUGGCCUUCGGGUUGAAUCUUUAGCGGCGGACGGGUGAGUAACGCGUGAGGAAUCUAUCUUUUGCUGGGGGAUAACAGGGAGAAAUCCUUGCUAAUACCGCAUAGGACCACACCUGCAGAAGCAGGAGGGGUGAAAGGAGCAAUCCGGCAAGAGGGGAUCUCGCGUCCCAUUAGCUAGUUGGUGGGGUAAAGGCCUACCAAGGCGAUGAUGGGUAGCCGACCUGAGAGGGUGAUCGGCCACACUGGAACUGAGAAACGGUCCAGACUCCUACGGGAGGCAGCAGUGGGGAAUAUUGGGCAAUGGGGGAAACCCUGACCCAGCAACGCCGCGUGAGGGAAGAAGGUUUUCGGAUUGUAAACCUCUGUCUUAUGGGAAGAAAUAAAUGACGGUACCAUGGGAGGAAGCCCCGGCUAACUACGUGCCAGCCGCCGCAGUAA
rnacentral:rRNA from 1 species